rnacentral:rRNA from 1 species
GCAGUGAGCGGGUACAGGUGUAAAGCAUAUCAUGCUGACGAGCUGGCGAACGGGUGAGUAAUGCUUUGGAAUCUUCCCAGUAGUGGGGAAUAACCAGUCGAAAGUAUUGGCUAAUAUCCGCAUAACGUCUGUAUUAGGUGGAAACGCGGGGGUCUCGUAAGAACUCGCGCUAUUGGAUUGAGCUCAAAUGUCGGAUUUAGGCUCAGUUCGGUGGGGUUAAUUGUGCCUACCAAGGCGACAAUCCGUAGCUGGUUCUUGAUGAGGACGACCAGCCACACCUGGAAUCUUGAGACACGGUCCGGACUCAUAACGGGAGGCAGCAGUGGGGAAUAUUUGGGACAAUGGGGGAAACCCUGAUCCAGCGACGCCGUCUGUGUGUGAACGAAGGCCUGCGGGUUGUAAAGCACUUUUAGUGGGUGACAAAAAGCUACGGAUUAAUACUCUGUGGUCUUGAUUUAACCCAUAGAAAAAGCACCGGCUAACUCUGUGCCAGCAGCCGGGUAAUACAGAGGGUGCGAGCGUUCAAUCGGAAUUACUGGGCGUAAAGCGCGCGUAACGGUUUUUGUAAUGUCAGAUGUGAAAUCCCUGGGUCAACUGGGAAACUGCAUUUGGAAACUGAUGGCUAGAGUAUCGAAGAGGGAAGUGGAAUUUCCGGUGUAGCGGUGAAAUU